GGACGAACGCUGGCGGCGUGCCUAACACAUGCAAGUCGAGCGAGGAGAUCCUCGGGAUGAUCCUAGCGGCGGACGGGUGAGUAACACGUGGGCAACCUGCCUCAUAGAGAGGAAUAGCCUUCCGAAAGGGAGAUUAAUACCUCAUAACAUUGCAGUUUCGCAUGGAACAGCAAUUAAAGGAGUAAUCCGCUAUGAGAUGGGCCCGCGGCGCAUUAGCUAGUUGGUGAGGUAACGGCUCACCAAGGCGACGAUGCGUAGCCGACCUGAGAGGGUGAUCGGCCACAUUGGGACUGAGACACGGCCCAGACUCCUACGGGAGGCAGCAGUGGGGAAUAUUGCACAAUGGGGGAAACCCUGAUGCAGCCAACGCCGCGUGAGUGAUGACGGCCUUCGGGUUGUAAAGCUCUGUCUUCAGGGACGAUAAUGACGGUACCUGAGGAGGAAGCCACGGCUAACUACGUGCCAGCAGCUGC
rnacentral:rRNA from 1 species